rnacentral:rRNA from 1 species
CAAUAGCGUAUAUUAAAGUUGUUGCGGUUAAAAAGCUCGUAGUUGGAUUUCUGCUGAGAACGACCGGUCUGCCCUUUGGGUGUGUAUCUGGCUCUUUCUUGGCAUCUUCUUGGUGAACGUUGCUGCACUUGACUGUGUGGAGCGCUACCCAGGACUUUUACUUUGAGGAAAUUAGAGUGUUUCAAGCAGGCAUACGCCUUGAAUACAUUAGCAUGGAAUAAUAAGAUAGGACCUCGGUUCUAUUUUGUUGGUUUCUAGAGCUGAGGUAAUGAUUAAUAGGGAUAGUUGGGGGCAUUCGUAUUUAACUGUCAGAGGUGAAAUUCUUGGAUUUGUUAAAGACGGACUACUGCGAANGNAUUUGCNAAGGAUGUUUNCAUUG